rnacentral:rRNA from 1 species
CACGCCCUAAACCGAAUGCGCGUUAGGUGUAUCGGUGACCACGAGUCACCGAGGUGCCGAAGGGAAACCGUGAAACGUGCCGCCUGGGAAGUACGGUCGCAAGGCUGAAACUUAAAGGAAUUGGCGGGGGAGGCACCACAACGGGUGGAGCUUGCGGUUUAAUUGGAUUCAACGCCGGAAAUCUUACCGGGACCGACAGCAACAUGAAGGCCAGGCUGAAGACUUUGCCGGAUUAGCUGAGAGGAGGUGCAUGGCGUAGUCGUGU